rnacentral:rRNA from 1 species
UCCAGAGGUGGCAAGCGUUGUUCGGAAUUACUGGGCGUAAAGGGCGCGUAGGCGGUUCGUUAAGUCCUGUGUGAAAUCCCCCGGCUCAACUGGGGAACUGCACAGGAAACUAGCGGGCUUGAGUUCGGGAGAGGGAAGCGGAAUUCCGGGUGUAGCGGUGAAAUGCGUAGAUAUCCGGAGGAACACCGGUGGCGAAGGCGGCUUCCUGGACCGACACUGACGCUGAGGCGCGAAGGCCAGGGGAGCAAACGGG